rnacentral:rRNA from 1 species
GAUGAACGCUGGCGGCGUGCCUAACACAUGCAAGUCGAGCGAUUCUCUUCGGAGAAGAGCGGCGGACGGGUGAGUAACGCGUGGGUAACCUGCCCUGUACACACGGAUAACAUACCGAAAGGUAUGCUAAUACGAGAUAAUAUGCUUUUAUCGCAUGGUAGAAGUAUCAAAGUUUUUGCGGUACAGGAUGGACCCGCGUCUGAUUAGCUAGUUGGUAAGGUAACGGCUUACCAAGGCGACGAUCAGUAGCCGACCUGAGAGGGUGACCGGCCACAUUGGAACUGAGACACGGUCCAAACUCCUACGGGAGGCAGCAGUGGGGAAUAUUGCACAAUGGGCGAAAGCCUGAUGCAGCAACGCCGCGUGAGCGAUGAAGGCCUUCGGGUCGUAAAGCUCUGUCCUCAAGGAAGAUAAUGACGGUACUUGAGGAGGAAGCCCCGGCUAACUACGUGCCAGCCGCCGCUGUAA